rnacentral:rRNA from 1 species
UACGAAGGGGGCGAGCGUUGUUCGGAGUUACUGGGCGUAAAGGGCGCGUAGGCGGCGAUCCAAGUUAGGCGUGAAAGCCCCGGGCUUAACCUGGGAAUUGCGCUUAAGACUGGACUGCUUGAGUGCGGGAGAGGUGAGUGGAAUUCCCAGUGUAGAGGUGAAAUUCGUAGAUAUUGGGAAGAACACCAGUGGCGAAGGCGGCUCACUGGCCCGAUACUGACGCUGAGGUGCGAAAGCGUGGGGAGCAAACAGG